UUUGCUGGGGCUACACCGUCACCAGAGGGACCAGGGAGAGUGGCCGAGGAAUGAGGCUGCAGACGUCGGCAAGGGCCAGCUCGCUGCGGAAUGUGGACCUUAGCCCAUAGGCGGCGGGGCGAAGAGACACGAUGGCGCAAUCCUCGAGCACCUCCCCUUGGGCAGAAGACAAUGGAUUGAAGACGUAACUAACUAGCCCAGCUGCCUGAGGCCCGGAGGCAGGUGGGGUCGGGAAGGGUCUCCGGAGGGCUUGGCCAUCGGGGAGGCUACUGACCUCGGAGAGAGAACCGCCGGGCGUCGUGGGACGUGGAGAGGGGAGCUCUCAGCAUCUUGGUGGAGACACUUUGGGGUUUAGGAAACCAGAAAACAGGACGUGCUGCAGGGGGGCUGCUCAAGCGUGUCUGUGCAUCAAGGGGAAGAAGCCCAUCAUGGGGUCUGCGAAGGCGAGAGGGGCCUGGAACCCAGAGCACAAGUGCAGGGGUUGGCCUUCAACAGGAACGAGGACAGAUUAUCCAUGGACGCUACAGGUGAUGACCCAGAAUGCACAAGAGGUAGCUGGCCUUUCUCUCACUAUAAAGGAGGAAAAAGAAUCUGUUUCCUCUGACGGUGCCUCCCUGGGAUUGCAUCCCCCUAAGCUGUGAAGAGACAUCAAACAGGUUGCAACAGUUGGAAUCAGCCAGGUCCUGAUGCGAGACGCUCAGGCCGUUACGCUGACACGCAGUCUCCCUCCUCACCACCAGAGGGCCUCCAGGAGCACCCGCCCGAUCGCACCACCGCCUCCCAGCAUGUGGGAGGCCUGCCUUGAGCCUCCCCGUGCUCAGUCUCAGAUCUCCCUGGUGACCAAUCCAGAGGCGCUCACGGAUUUUCCCUCAGCUCCAACCUCCCUGUGUCUCCCGGAGACCAUGAGCUCAGCGGGAACAGUGCCUGGGCCUGUCUUGUUCACCACUAUGUCUCCAGUGUCUGGCGCUGUGCUCCACCCCUCCACUCGCUAGUUCACAGGCUCCAUCAUGGUUUGAUGGAAGGAUGAAUGAAUGAAUGAAUGAACGAUCCGGCAGAGGAAAGAGCCUGAUCCCACCAGGGAGGUGUGCAGUCAAAAGCUGUGUGCCGUGAUACCAAGCGUUCCUGUGAAGUAGAUUGAGGAGUGUGCAGAGGGUAAUAGGGAGAAAUAAAGUUAGAAUAUUCUCUUCCCUCUCAUAAGCAUCUGAGGACAUCUGUGCCAGGCCCUGUGCUGACAAAGAGCCCACAGACGGACCAAGUGGGGCCCUGUUAGUCCUGUGAGGGUUCUCAGCACCGAAGUCUGAUGAAAGCCCCUCCGCCCCCAGCAAUCCCCAGGUGCUCCUAAACAGCCUAUUCUGCAUAUACCUUGAAGCGGAUCACAGCCUCCGGAACCACAACUUAAGUAUCCCUACUCUAGGUGGAACGAGAAAAAUCAAAUGAGUGCUUGGAGCGCGAGCCACGCCGAGACAGCAGUGAGGACGGAACCCAGCGCUUCGGAGACGGCUGCGGGGACAAGGACUUAGGGCCAGGGAAGGAACGGCGAUGGGAGGCCCUCGGACCCAUUUUAAGAAACUUAUCCUAUUCUCCAGAAACAGGGAGCCGGGCAAACUUCCUACGCCUAGAAGGGCCCUAAUCUCCACGCCGGCUCGGAAAGAUGACGCAAACAGCGCGCGAGGCCGUGCCAACAUACGACUGCCCCGCCCCCGCCGGUGCAUUGUUGGGGGUUAAAAGCACCAACCGGAUACCGGUCUCGCGAGCGAGCGAGCGAGAUUCACGCGGAUGACAGCGAUUGGGUGGGGAGGGAAGGCGAGGCUAGGCGAGGCUUCUACUCUUCGAACAAGAGUCCCGCCCCCCGGCCGGGAUGGGCCAAUCCCAAAGCCUCCCGGUCCUGGCCCUGGGGAUUGGUCCGAGGGCUCACAUGGUUAAGCGGGCCAUGGGGCGCUGCACCGAGCUGAGUCCCGGGUACUUGACCGAGGCGGCGACGGUGUCUUUGUACAGCGGUGAAGGGUCGGAGAGACCUAUACUCAGAAGCUCGCGGGCUACCGGCCGGUCUCGGCCUCCGCACGCGGCCGUGGGCAAGUCGAGUUUGAACACUUGCUGAAUAAAGAACAGGCCUAAAAGGUGGAUCUGGCCCUCAGUUCCCUCGCCUGUGACAUGGGUACAGUGUUGCCGGGAGAACAGGUUUGCCUCAGGUCUAGGUGAGGCGGGGUGCGUGGAAUGCCUGCCAAGUAAGAAGCGGGGCGAAGGCCUGGCGGGACGCAGCGGCCCGGGGAAACGGGCACCCAGUUCAUCUGCCCAGAAAGCUGGCCGUGGAUCACGUGUUGAGCCGAGGAGCGCCCCCUGUCCUCGAAUGACUUAAGGGACCAGUCGUAGACAGUGGGUAUGUGGCGGGCCUGCACCCUCUAGGUGCGAACCACUUGACUUUUGUUGUCUUAACUAGAUCUUUCCAACAGCGGUGCGGGGUCAGUGUCGUAGACGGGGAGACUUUGCUGAGGCCGCCCAGCCUGGAGUGAAGGAGCCAGGGUUGGACCCAGGCAUCAACCUGCUCAACCCGCAGGCCUUCCAGCAGGUGGCUCCUGCACCCCGAGGGGGCCUGUGCAGCGCCUCCAGAAGGGACUCGGCCCUCGUCCAUGAGACCCACCUGUCACUCGUGUCCCCUCUGCUUCCAUCAUCAGCCCCAGUGUCUGGAAAACCUUUACAGGCCUGUGGUGUUCUGGGAGCAUAAUUAGGAUGCUGGAAUCACGGCCCAGAGUUGCGAGUUUCACCGUACAGGGCGGGGCCUGCCCCUGGGCAGUCUAGGCAUGGCCACGUCGGGAUACUUUUCCCCAGAACCAAAGGCACCCACCGCCCGUUAGGAUGUCUGGGGCUGUCUGACACAUGAGGUCAUCACAACGGACCCUGCCUCACUUUCUUUGUUAUUAGACUAUAUUAAGAAAAAAAAAAGGGGACUUCCCUGGCAGUCCAGUGAUUAAGACUCCGAGCUUCCACUGCAGGGGCACGGGUUCGAUCCCUGGUCGGGGAACGAAGGUCCCGCAUGCCCCGCAACGUGGCAAUCAAUCAAUCAGUUUUAGAUUUACUGAAAAGUUAAGAGUAGGGAGUGCCCUUAUUACAGCCUCCCACAUACACACAUAGACGGGCACACACACCAUUUCCUUUAUUGUUAACAUCUUGCAUUAGUUGUACAUUUGCUACAAUUGAUGAGAUGAUAUUGAUACAUUAUUAUUAACUAGAGUCCAUCGUUUGUUCAGAGUUUCUUAGUUUUUCCCCAGUGUGUUUCUUCUGUGUCAGGAUCCCAUCAAGGAUACCGCGUCACAUGUAAUUGUCCACCUCACUUUCUCAUUCUGAAGGUGCAGUAUUGAGAGAGGAGGUUAAAAAAGCACGUAAUUGCUUAACUUGUUCUUGGCUUUAAGUCUGAGAAAAUGCUAGGGAAGAGGCUGCUGCUGGGGGCUGCGUUUUGGUGUUGUGUCUGGCACGUGCCAGCCUAGUGGGGCACCGGGUCCUGGGGAAGGGCGGGGCCCUGAGGAAGGGCUUCCCUCCAGAGCGACCCUUCUCAGAGCGGCCCCUCGGGUUGGGGUGAUGGGAAGUUACGUUUAGAGGAUCGAAAAUUUCUGUUUGGGGUGAUGAAAAUAUUCUGGACAUGGAUAGUGGUGAUGGUUACACAGAUUUGCUUAGUACCACUGAAUGUACACUUUAAAAUGCUUAAGUUUUAUGUAUAUUUUACCA